rnacentral:tRNA from 1 species
GCUAGCGUAGCUCAAUUGGUAGAGCAUCCGCCUUGUAAGCGGACGGUUGCGGGUUCGGAUCCCGCCGCUAGCUACA